rnacentral:misc_RNA from 1 species
GGAGUAAAAGUCGUAACAAGGUUUCCGUAGGUGAACCUGCGGAAGGAUCAUUAUUGUAUAACCGAGGUGCGAGGGCUGUCGCUGACCCGAAAGGUCGUGCACGCCCGAGUGCCCUCACACACAUCCAUCUCACCCCUAUGUGCACCACCGCGUGGGUCCCCCUUUGGCUUGUUCGGAGGGGGGCUUACGUUUUCACACAAACUUUGUAUGCAGUGUAGAAUGUAUUUUUUGUUUUUGCGAUCACGCAAUCAAUACAACUUUCAACAACGGAUCUCUUGGCUCCC